CAGCAGCCGCGGUAAACCGUAGGGUGCGAGCGUUAAUCGGAAUUACUGGGCGUAAAGCGUGCGUAGGCGGUUUGUUAAGUCUGUUGUGAAAUCCCCGGGCUCAACCUGGGAAUGGCAAUGGAUACUGGCUCGCUAGAGUGUGUCAGAGGAUGGUGGAAUUCCCGGUGUAGCGGUGAAAUGCGUAGAGAUCGGGAGGAACAUCAGUGGCGAAGGCGGCCAUCUGGGACAACACUGACGCUGAGGCACGAAAGCGUGGGGAGCAAACAGGAUUAGAUACCCGUGUAGUCCCUGUCUCUUAUAA
rnacentral:rRNA from 1 species